rnacentral:rRNA from 1 species
UUGAACGCUGGCGGCAUGCUUUACACAUGCAAGUCGAACGGCAGCGGGGGCUUCGGCCUGCCGGCGAGUGGCGAACGGGUGAGUAAUGCAUCGGAACGUACCCAGUCGUGGGGGAUAACUACGCGAAAGCGUAGCUAAUACCGCAUACGCCCUGAGGGGGAAAGCGGGGGACCUUCGGGCCUCGCGCGAUUGGAGCGGCUGAUGUCGGAUUAGCUAGUUGGUGGGGUAAAGGCCUACCAAGGCGACGAUCCGUAGCUGGUCUGAGAGGAUGAUCAGCCACACUGGGACUGAGACACGGCCCAGACUCCUACGGGAGGCAGCAGUGGGGAAUUUUGGACAAUGGGCGCAAGCCUGAUCCAGCCAUGCCGCGUGAGUGAAGAAGGCCUUCGGGUUGUAAAGCUCUUUCGAUGGGGAAGAAAACCUGUUCUUAACGGAACAGACUGACGGUACCCAGAGAAGAAGCCACGGCCAACUCUGU